rnacentral:rRNA from 1 species
UACGUAGGGGGCUAGCGUUGUCCGGAAUCAUUGGGCGUAAAGAGCGUGUAGGCGGCUUGGUAAGUCCGCUGUGAAAGUCCAGGGCUCAACCCUGGAAUGCCGGUGGAUACUGUCGGGCUAGAGUCCGGAAGGGGCGAGUGGAAUUCCUGGUGUAGCGGUGAAAUGCGCAGAGUAUCAGGAGGAACACCAAUGGCGAAGGCAGCUCGCUGGGACGUGACUGACGCUGAGACGCGAAACGUGGGGAGCAAACAGG